rnacentral:rRNA from 1 species
AUGCAGCCAUGCCGCGUGUGUGAAGAAGGCCUUCGGGUUGUAAAGCACUUUCAGUCGUGAGGAAGGUAGUGUAGUUAAUAGCUGCAUUAUUUGACGUUAGCGACAGAAGAAGCACCGGCUAACUCCGUGCCAGCAGCCGCGGUAAUACGGAGGGUGCGAGCGUUAAUCGGAAUUACUGGGCGUAAAGCGCAUGCAGGUGGUUUGUUAAGUCAGAUGUGAAAGCCCGGGGCUCAACCUCGGAAUUGCAUUUGAAACUGGCAGACUAGAGUACUGUAGAGGGGGGUAGAAUUUCAGGUGUAGCGGUGAAAUGCGUAGAGAUCUGAAGGAAUACCGGUGGCGAAGGCGGCCCCCUGGACAGAUACUGACACUCAGAUGCGAAAGCGUGGGGAGCAAACAGGAUUAGAUACCCUGGUAGUCCACGCCGUAAACGAUGUCUACUUGGAGGUUGUGGCCUUGAGCCGUGGCUUUCGGAGCUAACGCGUUAAGUAGACCGCCUGG